UACGAACUGUGCAAACGUUAUUCGGAAUCACUGGGCUUAAAGGGUGCGUAGGCGGCUUGUCAAGUCGGGUGUGAAAGCCCCCGGCUUAACCGGGGAAUUGCGCCCGAAACUGACGAGCUGGAGUGGGACAGGGGUGUGUGGAACUUCCGGUGGAGCGGUGAAAUGUGUUGAUAUCGGAAGGAACGCCGGUGGCGAAAGCGACACACUGGGUCUCAACUGACGCUGAGGCACGAAAGCCAGGGGAGCGAACGGG
rnacentral:rRNA from 1 species